rnacentral:lncRNA from 1 species
UCAACUAAGAUUUUUCUUUGAGGGCGACAAAAUGUAGUCGCAUAUGAAUUUUUUGUAAGAGUUUCAUGGUAACUAUAAAGAAAAUUUUGUUCCCAAGUUACGAUUUUGCUUUUGGAGUUUGAGAUUGUACGUUUAGUACUUUCAAGUAUAUUUUCUCCAUAUUGUACUCUCGUUUAUUUACUCAUCUAGUGAGAAGUUAAUACCUCCUUUGCCCGUGGUUUUUCCCUCGUUCUUCUCCACUUUUCUUAUUCGUUGUUUACAAGGGUUGAUCCCCAACAAGAAAAUUAAGUAGAGAAAUAUAAAAAACUGUCUUAACUAAUCAUUAGUAAAUGAGAUUGGAUAUUAGCAGAACUACUUAGAAACUUAGGGUGAGUUUGAAUUGGCGGUGCGUUUACCUGCAGUUAGUGUAAAAACAGCGGUGGCAGUGAGAUUAGAUACUGUAGCAACACUGUAACGUGAGACAAAAAGUAAGCUAAACGCACCACACUGUACCCAAUCGCCCAUCUAAACCCACCCUUAGGCAAAAACAAAAUGUAAUGAACAAUGAAAAGAAUUUCUUUUAGUAAAGAUGACAGGGCAUCUGCAUUGCAAUUCUACAAAGAACAACAACUUUGUUAUAAAGCAAGUAAAAAGCAACAAUAAAGCUACUGGAAGUUUACUAGGGAUGCUACUUGUUGGCACAUAAUUCUAUCUUUCAAGAACUCACAGGGGAAUUUAUUCACAGAAACUACCAUUGAACUUAAAUAAUGAACAAUGAAAUUAAAAGAAGAGCAAAAUGCAAAUUGGAACUUAUAAUGACUCAUUGUUUAUACACACCUCAAUGAGUUUGACCAGAUUCCAUCAAUCCAAAAGCUAGUGAUAAAUAUUUAAUCCAUUUUAAAAAAGGAUUCAACCAAAUGCUCUUAUGGAGAGCCAUGGCUUGCACCGAAUGGUUUCGACUAUCUCUAGCUAGCUCGUAAUAAAACCCUUCGUUGAAAUCAACUAAAGAAUUGAAAAAAGAUUCAACAAGCUAAGUGAAAGACUUUAGAAACAAGCAAUCAGCUUACUGCCAUCAUCAAAGCAAAGAUUUUUACAGUUACUGUUCUCUCUUAUUUGCAAAGGCUAAAAUCCCUAAUAAGCAGGUAUAUACUAGAAAUAACCCUAAAAAUAAGCAAGAUGCAAGUAAAAGCUAAAAUUGGAGAACAAUAUGUUUUUAAUUACCUUACAAGCAUUGAGACAAAGCAUGAGAUAACAAUGUUUGAGAAUCUGCAAAACAAAAUUAAGAAAAACAACUGAAUUGGAACCCUAAAUCUAUAAAAAAACAUGUUGAAACCACUUUUUGAAAACAAAAAUAGAGUCGACUUUUAUUUUGAAAAUAAAAAAUGGGAGUCCUAUUGACUUUUUUUGAGGUUUGAUCGGAUUACCUUGCAAUUCAAUUGUUUUGAUAAAACGUUUUGAUUUUAUUAAAACAAUAAUUUUGAUCUACGGAAUUCAAGAAAAACAGGUUUGGUAGUAAGUUACAUGCGAGGAAGGAUUAGCACCCUCGUUAUGCCCAAAAUUGGUAACUAAUCAUUGAUUAAUAUCUUAAUGUCGAAAAUUUAAAAAUUCGGAAAGAAAUUCAAAAACAUAAUUCUUUUAAAACCACUUAAAAAUUUAAGGAAGGGUGCUCUUCUCGUUAAUCAAGAAUGAUAAAGCAAAAAAAUCUACAUAUUUAGAAUUGACAAAAUAUGUGCGUCUGAGAACAUAUAUACGUAUGCAUGUAUAUUUUAAAAUUAUAAAAUAUAAAUACGUAUGUAUAUAAUAUAUAUGAAAAUAAGAAAUGCAUAUAAAUUAUAGAGUAUAAAAAUAUAUAUAAAU